rnacentral:lncRNA from 1 species
AAGCUCGAUAAGCGACAAAGAGUAAUAGUACACAAGGUGAUGAGAAAAUUCUAUUUUAUUUCAUUAGUAAAGAAUGCAUUACAAAAGCCUUUAAAGGUCAAAAAAAAAUGACAAGAAAAGAAAAGAAUACAUGGAACAAAAAGUAAGAAAGCUCUAAGGAAGCUCGGCUUCUUCUGACUUUGAACUCUCGGUUCCAGCCAUUAUCAAGGAUUGCUUUA